rnacentral:rRNA from 1 species
UAGGGAAUAUUGCACAAUGGGCGAAAGCCUGAUGCAGCAACGCCGCGUGCGCGAUGAAGGCCUUCGGGUCGUAAAGCGCUUUUCGGGGAGAUGAGGAAGGACAGUAUCCCCGGAAUAAGGUUCGGCUAACUACGUGCCAGCAGCCGCGGUAAAACGUAGGAACCGAGCGUUAUCCGAAUUUACUGGGCGUAAAGCGCGUGUAGGCGGUUCGGUAAGUUGGAUGUGAAAUCUCCUGGCUCAACUGGGAGAGGUCGUUCAAUACUGUCGAACUUGAGGGUGGUAGAGGGAGGUGGAAUUCCCGGUGUAGUGGUGAAAUGCGUAGAUAUCGGGAGGAACACCAGUGGCGAAAGCGGCCUCCUGGACCAUUCCUGACGCUCAGACGCGAAAGCUAGGGGAGCAA